rnacentral:rRNA from 1 species
UUUUCUUGUUAGUUUCUGAAGUAUGGCCUGCCCGCUGAUUGAAGGGCCGCGGUAUUUUGRCCGUGCAAAGGUAGCAUAGUCAUUAGUUCUUUAAUUGUGAUCUGGUAUGAAUGGUUUGACGAGACGUUUACUGUCUUUUUGAAUUUAGAUUUUGAGUUAAAAUUCUUAAAUGUUUUUAUGGGACGAGAAGACCCUAUAGAGUUUUACAUUUUUUGAGUUUUUGCGUUUGUUUUGUUGGGGUGAUGGGAGGAAUUUUUUAACUCCUCUUUGUUGAUAUAUUGAUUUGUAUUUAUUUGAUCCAUUUAUUUUGAUUAUAAGAUUAAAUUACCUUAGGGAUAACAGCGUUAUCUUCCCUGAGAGUUCUUAUUGGCGGGAGGGUUUGCGACCUCGAUGUUGGAUUAAGGUUAAUUUUUGGUGUAGGAGCUGAAUUGAUUAGGUCUGUUCGACCUUUAAAAUCUU